rnacentral:rRNA from 1 species
GACGAACGCUGGCGGCGUGCCUAAUACAUGCAAGUCGAACGCUGAAGGAGGAGCUUGCUUCGCUGGAGGAGUUGCGAACGGGUGAGUAACGCGUAGGUAACCUGCCUGGUAGCGGGGGAUAACUAUUGGAAACGAUAGCUAAUACCGCAUAAUAGUAUAUGUCGCAUGACAUUUGCUUGAAAGGUUCAAUUGCAUCACUACCAGAUGGACCUGCGUUGUAUUAGCUAGUUGGUGAGGUAACGGCUCACCAAGGCAACGAUACAUAGCCGACCUGAGAGGGUGCUAGGCCACACUGGGACUGAGACACGGCCCAGACUGCUACGGGAGGCAGCAGUAGGGAAUCUUAGGACAUGGACGGAAGUCUGACCGAGCAACGCCGCGUGAGUGAAGAAGGUUGUCGGAUCGUAAAGCUCUGUUGUCAGAGAAGAACGAGUGUGAGAGUGUAAAGUUCACACUGUGACGGUAUCUUACCAGAAAGGGACGGCUAGCUACGUG